UACGUAGGGUGCGAGCGUUGUCCGGAAUUAUUGGGCGUAAAGAGCUUGUAGGCGGUUUGUCGCGUCUGCCGUGAAAAUCCGGGGCUCAACCCCGGACUUGCGGUGGGUACGGGCAGACUAGAGUGUGGUAGGGGAGACUGGAAUUCCUGGUGUAGCGGUGAAAUGCGCAAGUAUAUAGGAGGAACACCGAUGGCGAAGGCAGGUCUCUGGGCCACUACUGACGCUGAGAAGCGAAAGCGUGGGGAGCAAACAGG
rnacentral:rRNA from 1 species